GACGAACCGUGCAAACGUUAUUCGGAAUCACUGGGCUUAAAGGGCGCGAGUAGGCGGGUGCUCAAGUCCGGUGGUGAAAUCCUACCGGCUCAACCGGAGAACCUGCCUCGGAUACUGGGCGUCUACGAGUGUGGUAGGGGUAUGCGAAGCUAUCGUGGAGCGGUGAAAUGACGUUGAUAUCGAUAGGAACUCCGGUGGCGAAGGCGGCAUACUGGACCUACCACUGACGCUGAUGCGACGAAAGCCAGGGGAGGCAAACGGG
rnacentral:rRNA from 1 species